rnacentral:misc_RNA from 1 species
GAUGAAGAACGCAGCAAAAUGCGAUAAGUAAUGUGAAUUGCAGAAUUCAGUGAAUCAUCGAAUCUUUGAACGCACAUUGCGCCCGCCAGUAUUCUGGCGGGCAUGCCUGUUCGAGCGUCAUUUCAACCCUCAAGCACAGCUUGGUGUUGGGACUCGCGUUAAUUCGCGUUCCCCAAAUUGAUUGGCGGUCACGUCGAGCUUCCAUAGCGUAGUAGUAAAACCCUCGUUACUGGUAAUCGUCGCGGCCACGCCGUUAAACCCCAACUUCUGAAUGUUGACCUCGGAUCAGGUAGGAAUACCCGCUGAACUUAAGCAUAUCAAUAAGCGGGGA